rnacentral:rRNA from 1 species
UGGUGGAGCGAUUUGUCUGGUUUAUUCCGAUAACGAACGAGACUCUGGCCUACUAAAUAGCGUGCAGAUUGUCUCGUCUGCUGCGCUUCUUAGAGGGACAAGCGGCGCUUAGCCGCACGAAACUGAGCAAUAACA